GCCAGAAUAGCUCAGGGGUAGAGCAGUUCACUCGUAAUGAUCAGGUCAAGGGUUCAAAUCCCUUUUCUGGCU
rnacentral:tRNA from 2 species